rnacentral:rRNA from 1 species
CGGGUGAGUAACGCGUGAGCAAUCUGCCUUUAAGAGGGGGAUAACAGUCGGAAACGGCUGCUAAUACCGCAUAAAGCAUCAAAUUCGCAUGUUUUUGAUGCCAAAGGAGCAAUCCGCUUUUAGAUGAGCUCGCGUCUGAUUAGCUGGUUGGCGGGGUGACGGCCCACCAAGGCGACGAUCAGUAGCCGGACUGAGAGGUUGAACGGCCACAUUGGGACUGAGGCACGGCCCAGACUCCUACGGGAGGCAGCAGUGGGGAAUAUUGCGCAAUGGGGGAAACCCUGACGCAGCAACGCCGCGUGAUUGAAGAAGGCCUUCGGGUUGUAAAGAUCUUUAAUCAGGGACGAAACAAAUGACGGUACCUGAAGAAUAAGCUCCGGCUAACUACGUGCCAGCAGCCGCGGUAAUACGUAGGGAGCAAGCGUUAUCCGGAUUUACUGGGUGUUAAGGGCGCGCAGGCGGGCCGGUAAGUUGAAAGUGAAAUCUAUGGGCUUAACCCAUAAACUGCUUUCAAAACUGCUGGUCUUGAGUGAUGGAGAGGCAGGCGGAAUUCCGUGUGUAGCGGUGAAAUGCGUAGAUAUACGGAGGAACACCAGUGGCGAAGGCGGCCUGCUGGACAUUAACUGACGCUGAGGCGCGAAAGCGUGGGGAGCAAACAGGAUUAGAUCCCUGGUAGUCCACGCCGUAAACGAUGGAUACUAGGUGUGGGAGGUAUUGACCCCU